rnacentral:rRNA from 1 species
GUAACGCGUGAGAAUCUGCCUUCAGGAUGGGGACAACAAUUGGAAACGAUUGCUAAUACCCGAUAUGACGAAAGUUGAAAGAUUUAUCGCCUGGAGAUGAGCUCGCGUCAGAUUAGCUAGAUGGUGUGGUAACGGCGCACCAUGGCGACGAUCUGUAGCUGGUCUGAGAGGAUGAGCAGCCACACUGGGACUGAGACACGGCCCAGACUCCUACGGGAGGCAGCAGUGGGGAAUUUUCCGCAAUGGGCGCAAGCCUGACGGAGCAAUACCGCGUGAGGGAGGAAGGCUCUUGGGUCGUAAACCUCUUUUCUCAGGGAAGAACAAAAUGACGGUACCUGAGGAAUCAGCAUCGGCUAACUCCGUGCCAGCAGCCGCGGUAAUACGGAGGAUGCAAGCGUUAUCCGGAAUGAUUGGGCGUAAAGCGUCCGUAGGUGGUUAUGUAAGUCUGUGGUUAAAGCGUGGGGCUCAACCCCAUAAGGGCCAUGGAAACUACAAGACUUGAGUAAAGUAGGGGUAGAGGGAAUUCCCAGUGUAGCGGUGAAAUGCGUAGAGAUUGGGAAGAACACCGGCGGCGAAAGCGCUCUACUGGACUUAAACUGACACUGAGGGACGAAAGCUAGGGGAGCG